AACUGAAGAGUUUGAUCAUGGCUCAGAUUGAACGCUGGCGGCAGGCUUAACACAUGCAAGUCGAGCGGUAACAGAUCUAGCUUGCUAGAU
rnacentral:rRNA from 1 species